ACAUCAGCGGCAGACGGGUGAGUAACACGUAGGUAACCUACCCCAGAGACAGGGAUAACCCUAGGAAACGAGGGCUAAUACCGGAUGACCUCCGGAAGGAGGAAAGGCUCAGGCGCUCUGGGAGGGGCUUGCGGCCCAUCAGCUAGUUGGUAGGGUAAAGGCCUACCAAGGCGAAGACGGGUAGGGGGUGUGAGAGCACGGGCCCCCACAAUGGGACUGAAACACGGCCCAUACUCCUACGGGAGGCAGCAGCAGGGAAUAUUGCACAAUAGGCGAAAGCCUGAUGCAGCGACGCCGCGUGAGUGAAGAAGGCCUUCGGGUCGUAAAGCUCUUUUGUAGGGGAAGAGGAAGGACGGUACCCUAAGAAGAAGCGUCGGCUAACUACGUGCCAGCAGCCGCGGUAAGACGUAGGACGCGAGCGUUAUCCGGAAUUACUGGGCGUAAAGGGCCAGCAGGCGGCUUGGUAAGUUGUGCGUGAAAGCCUCGUGCUCAACGCGAGGAAGCCGGACAAUACUGUCAAGCUAGAGGGCAUCAGAGGGGAGUGGAAUUCCCGGAGUAGCGGUAAAAUGCGCAGAUAUCGGGAGGAACACCGAUGGCGAAGGCAGCUCCCUGGGAUGCACCUGACGCUAAGAGGCGAAAGCUAGGGGAGCGAACAGGAUUAGAGACCCUGGUAGUCCUAGCUGUAAACGCUGGGUGCUAGGUGUGGGACGUGGAAGUUCCGUGCCGGAGCAAACGCGAUAAGCACCCAGCCUGGGAAUUACGGUCGCAAGGCUAAAAGUCAAACGAUUUGACGGGGCCCGCACAAACUAGCCGGAGCGUGUGGUCCAUUUCGAUGCUACACGGAAGACCUUUACCUGGGGUUUGACAUGGUACGUGUUACGAAGGCGAAAGCCUAAAGGACCCUUCGGGGAGCGUACACA
rnacentral:rRNA from 1 species